AAUAAACGCUGGCGGCGUGCCUAACACAUGCAAGUCGAACGAGAAAGCCUGAUUUCGUCGGGCAAGUAAAGUGGCGCACGGGUGAGUAACGCGUAGGUAACCUGCCCCUGUGUUCGGGAUAACAGUGCGAAAGCGCUGCUAAUACCGGAUCCGGUCAUAAGGCGGCGGUCUUAUGAUUAAAGUCGGCCUCUCAAAGAAGCCGGCGCAUGGGGAUGGGCCUGCGUCCUAUCAGCUAGUUGGUAGGGUAAUGGCCUACCAAGGCUUCCACGGGUAGCUGGUCUGAAGGAUGAUCAGCCCACUGGCACUGAAACACGGCACACUCUACGGAGGCAGAGUGAGGAAUUUUCGCAAUGCAGUGUCCAACACCCGCCGUGUGGGUGAGACGCCUUCGGUGUAAGCCCUGUCGUGGGAAGAAUGACCGGGGUUGAAUAGAUCUCAGGAGUGACGGUACCACCAGAGGAAGCACCGGCUAACUCCGUGCCAGCAGGCGCGGUAAUACGUAGGGAGCGAGCGUUGUCCGAAGUUACUGGGCGUAAAGCGCGCGUAGGCGGCUGCUUAAGUUGGAUGUGAAAUCCCACAGCUUAACUGCGGAACUGCAUCCAAAACUGGGCGGCUUGAGGAUGGAAGAGGGUAGUGGAAUUCCUGGUGUAGCGGUGAAAUGCGUAGAUAUCAGGAGGAACACCCGUGGCGAAGGCGGCUACCUGGUCCAUUUCUGACGCUGAGGUGCGAAAGCUAGGGGAGACGAACGGAUGAUAUACCCGUAUCCUACGUAAAGAUGGAUACUAGUGUAUGGUAUCACCCCAAUUUGCAAACUACGCUUAAUAUCGCCUGUGGAGAUACCGCCCCAGGUAUCUCCGGAAUUACGGGGCCCCCCAACGUAGAACAUGGGUUUAAUUUUUAUUAACCGAAGAACCUUACCCAGGCUUGACAUCCCCGGACACCCUAUGAAAAUAGUUUUUUCCCUCAAAAGGGAGACUGGGUGACAGGUGUUGCAUGGCUGUCGUCAGCUCGUGUCGUGAGAUGUUGGGUUAAGUCCGCAACGAGCGCAACCCUCAUCGCAUGUUGCCAGCGUAAAGCCGGGCACUCUUGCGAAACUGCCCGUCUAAGCGGGAGGAAGGUGGGGAUGACGUCAAGUCGGCAUGGCCCUUACGCCUGGGGCUACACACAUGCUACAAUGGCCGGUAACAGAGGGCAGCAAUACCGCGAGGUGGAGCAAAUCCCAAAAAUCCGGCCUCAGUUCGGAUUGCAGUCUGCAACUCGACUGCAUGAAGGCGGAAUCGCUAGUAACCGCAGGUCAGCUAUACUGCGGUGAAUACGUUCCCGGGCCUUGUACACACCGCCCGUCAAGUGAUCUGAGUCGGUUGCACCCGAAGUCGAUGGCCCAACCCGCAAGGGAGGGAGUCGCCGAAGGUGUGGCCGGUAAGGAGCGCU
rnacentral:rRNA from 1 species